CAUCUUCAUAGCAAAUGGAACAAACUGCAAAUCAAGCAAUGUUCUUAGAAUCAUCAAAGCAUUUAAGUCACAGAGCAACCUGCAGCCCCCAAGCUUGAAGUGGCACCGGGAUAGGAAGAAUCAUACUUCAUGGAAAGAAGAAGCUGUUGCAGCCAGGGACCAUUAGAAGACUUCUACUGUAUUUCCGUCAUUACUGUUCUACAAUUGAUAAUUACUGGUGGCUGCGUGAGGGCCUAGGAUUACAGGCACCCACAUUUUGGUCCAACCAAGCCACCCCAUUGUACAGCAGGAGAUGAGCAGCAAAGGCUCCUCUGUAUUUACAGCCGCCCUUACCACCUGAGCUCCGCCUCCCGUCAGAUGAGCAGCCGCAGUAGAUUCUCAUAGGAAGUGAACCCUACUGCACCACGCAAGGGAUCUAAGGUAUAAUUCGUGUUUCUGAGAUUAAAGACCCACAUUAACUGUAAGUCAACAAACAAAACUGGCCUUAUUUACCCCCUGCACUCUAUAUCCACUGAUACUGUGGCAUAAAACACACUGUAUAGGACCGUUUAUUUGUCCUGUGGAGUGACUGUGAGCUUCUAAAAACCACCGUGUCAUCACGAACGUGUGA